rnacentral:rRNA from 1 species
CUACCAUGCAGUCGAGGGGCAGCACGGUGUAGCAAUACACGGGUGGCGACCGGCGCACGGGUGAGUAACGCGUAUGCAACCUGCCUACUACAAGGGGAUAACCCGUUGAAAGACGGACUAAUACCCUAUAACACAGGGAAUCCGCAUGGAUAUAUUUGUUAAAGAUUAAUCGGUAGUAGAUGGGCAUGCGUUCCAUUAGCUUGUUGGUGAGGUAACGGCUCACCAAGGCAACGAUGGAUAGGGGAA